UCUCCGUAGGUGAACCUGCGGAGGGAUCAUUACAAGUGACCCCGGUCUUACCACCGGGAUGUUCAUAACCCUUUGUUGUCCGACUCUGUCGCCUCCGGGGCGACCCUGCCUUCGGGCGGGGGCUCCGGGUGGACACUUCAAACUCUUGCGUAACUUUGCAGUCUGAGUAAACUUAAUUAAUAAAUUAAAACUUUUAACAACGGAUCUCUUGGUUCUG
rnacentral:misc_RNA from 1 species